CUAGCGUUGUUCGGAAUUACUGGGCGUAAAGCGCACGUAGGCGGCUUUGUAAGUUAGAGGUGAAAGCCCGGGGCUCAACCCCGGAAUUGCCUUUAAGACUGCAUCGCUUGAAUCCAGGAGAGGUGAGUGGAAUUCCGAGUGUAGAGGUGAAAUUCGUAGAUAUUCGGAAGAACACCAGUGGCGAAGGCGGCUCACUGGACUGGUAUUGACGCUGAGGUGCGAAAGCGUGGGGAGCAAACAGG
rnacentral:rRNA from 1 species